UACGUAGGGGGCAAGCGUUGUCCGGAUUUAUUGGGCGAAAGAGCGUGUAGGCGCCAGACAGGUCCGUUGUGAAAACUCGAGGCUCAACCUCGAGACGCCGAUGGAAACCGUCUGGCUAGAGUCCGGAAGAGGAGAGUGGAAUUCCUGGUGUAGCGGUGAAAUGCGCAGAUAUCAGGAAGAACACCCGUGGCUAAGGCGGCUCUCUAGUACGGUACUGACGCUGAGACGCGAAAGCGUGGGGAGCGAACAGG
rnacentral:rRNA from 1 species